GAGCGGCGGCCAACGGCCAGUGCGCAGCGGCCGCUGGAACGCAGCCCUGACUUCCGCAGGCACGGAUUCCUCAGGUGCGACAGCACGUCAGAAGAGGGCAGGAUGCGGAUCUGCGGACAAGGCUUUGGGGAGAGGGUCUGGAUCAGCGCCUACUUCCAACCAGCCUCUUUUGCCCCCACACAAGCGAGUUUUCCUCUCUCAGACCCGGGAAUCCAAAGGUCGGGGGAAAGAAUCUGAGGCGACUGGCAGGAGUCCGUUGGUUUUUCCCGUGGGUGAGUCCAGCCUCAAGGACUGGGCCAGGAGAGACUGCCGUGGGAAAGGGCAUUCCUUCCAGAGUCCUCAAGGAGGAUGGGCAGACGAGUUGGUCAUUCAAAACCAAAGCUUAGCCUGCAGACCACUUUGGACUCUGCAAGGGGACCCCCAAGACCUCAGCCAGCCUCCGGCUUCCCGACACGCAGAUCACGCAACAGAGACGCGGAGACGAGACGCGCACAGAGAUAAGCACCGCGGAGCUGCCUCGGAAGAUGCGACGGCAGCAGCCGGCCGCUCCCAGAGACACACACAGACAGCACGUCCUCUGCCGACCUCGACACCUCGCGCUUUAUUUCUGGUGCCAAUGCAGGAGCGGAGGACAGACACACUGGACGAAACGCGGAGGUCUCCAUCCAGAAGUGGGGGCUGUGCGCGCACCUCUGCCCGGAAGCGGGGCUGGGCGCCAGAGCAGGCGGUCUGCUGGCCAGAGGCGUUUUGGCUAUAGCACACGGCAUGUGGGCCCUGAGCCCCCACCCAGAGACUGAAUCUGCACCCCAGGCGCUGCAAGGCGGAGUCUUAACCACGGGGCCAACGGGGAGUUCCGAGGCCAUCUUGGAGAAUAACUUGGCAAACUGUAUUAAAACUUGACAUGGACCCCACAAGUCAUAUGACCCUGCAGUUUUACUUUCCAAGUAAGAAAUUUCAGUUCGGUAAUAAUACUUUUGAAAGAAAUUUGGGCUCUGCUGAAAGGAGAUAUCAUCUGUGUGAAAACGGCUUAAUUAGAAAACUGUCCACGCGAAAUUGGACGGAGACGGCGCCACACUGCACCUCCGGGACUCUCCCACAGCAUCAGAUGGCGCGCGUCACGCUGGCACGCGACUCUGGGUAACACUCGACCACUGGUCCAGUCACCACGUCACUGUGGACCCGUGGCGAGUGUGCCCUGACUUACGGGUGAGAGAGCGGAGGAGGUCUUUAGAAGUGACAGCUGCCUUCUGCAUAAGGUUCCCAUUCUCACUCUUACCAACGUUUCCGCACAUUUCAUUCACCUCAAGACAGAACAAGUUCAUGCUGUCUCCUUUCCGGCACGCGAGGAGUUAAAAAAGGUCGAGCAACUUGACCAGAAUGACAUUUUAGUUAGUAAUUAGUAAUGAGCUAAAGCUAUAAUAGGAUCUUACUUAAUUCCUAACUCAGUUGUUUCUCUAUCUGCCCAAAUCCCUAGGGAGUGGUUUGCGUUUGGAGGAGACUCAAGAGGCCUAGGCCUGGACACACAGCCCCAGGUCCGUGGCCGUUUAGCCGCUUGCUGGGCGCUGGCCAUAGGCAGGAAAGCAGUAUGGUCUGUAUAAUGCCUCGCCCGGCCUGUUAGGAGACCCUAAAAAUCUCAGUGGCCGUGUAUCUGACUCUGUCUCCACUCUGUGAGGUGGGCCAGCCUGGCCUCGGUUGAGCAGGGUCCGGGGUGGGCUCACCUUGAUGCCGUCCUUGGCCCCUUCCUGUAGGUAGGGGAUGAUGGAAUUGUUCCACAGGUCGAUGAACCAGGUCCGGAAAUCCUCGAUGCCGAUGGGGCAAGACAGAAAGAAGCAGGGACCUGGCGAGAGAAGAGGGCCGGGGAGAUGGCCUAGAACCUCACUCUCCCUGGCCGUCUGCCCCGCCGACUCCCUAAUGCCAGGCAGAAGGCCCUGGAACUAGAGGGUGAGAGAGGCACAGGGCGGGGCUGAACUGCGAUCGCGGUCAAGACAGUGGGAGCUGACAGCCUGGGGCAGCCUCAGGAGCGAUGCUUCUCCAGGUGGACGGGAGGCGGGGGAGCCAGGGGCAGCGCUAACCUCCCCUAACACCUCCCCUGCGUCUUCUCAGUGAGUCUGGGGAGUGUGGGUGAGCUCUGAGCUCUGACAGCUGACGCAGGCAGGGGCACCACACUGGGUGCCUACUCAGUGACCCGCGGCUCUAAGGCUGCAGGCGUGGGGCCAGUGAGCCCUCCACACGCUGAAGACGCGGGGGGGAGAGGGGCCCCCACCAGCCCCGCCCGGGGGGCGCAGGCCGCACCGAUGAGGAAGUCCGAGGUGCUGUGCUUCUCCAGGAAGGUGUGCAGGUGGUACCACAGCUUGGGCACCCAGUCCAGCACCCGCAGCAGCUCCUCCCUGUUGGCGUUGAGGUCGCUGUCCGACUCCACCAGCUUCCUCCUCAGGUAGCGGACCAGGAAGCCGUUGGCGGGCUCCACAUUGUUGGAGAAGGUCAGCAUCCUGUGGCCAGGGACACAGAGGGCCGGGGGUGGGUGGGCACUGCACGAGGGCAGGUCGACUCCGCUCCCACCCAGCCCGAGCUGCCUGCCUCCCACUGACGCCUGCGGGUCUGCUGAACCCAGGGCCGAGGCAGAGCGGGCACUCAGAUCAGUGACCCCCUCAGGUGACCCUCGGACCCCACUGGCCUGGACACGGGGUGUGUGGGCAGAGGCUGCCCCCUGCUCCUCUCCUCCCGCUGUCCCUCCGGCCAGAUCCUGGACUGAACCGGUUUACAGACUCGGGCCAUAGGUCUUACCUGAAGCUCAGGUGCAAGCCGUGAUUGGGCGUCAUUUUUACUGGUUGAUUAGUGGUACCAAUAAUAUAAGGACUGCAGGAAGACAGAGGAAGACGACCGGUUAGACCUGUCUGAACACUCGAUUUCUGCCGUGUGCUACCCCCCACCCCGUGGAACGCUCACAGCUUGGGGUGAACUGGGCUCCCUUCUGCCCGCUGUGGUGAGUCUGGUCCUGACUCCAGCUCACCAUUUGUGAUACUUGCACGUCAGGGCCCCAUUGACCAGCUCACUGAUGGAGCCUGCCUCACUCAGGUCAUCCAGUAGGAUCACCAGGGGGACGUCCCCAAUUCCUGUUUCCCGGUCUAUCUGAUUGGCCAGGUUGGAGAGAUACAGCUGCAGGUCCUGAAAUGAAAGAAGCGGGCGGUCAGCACUCAGGAGCAGCGAGCCCCUGGACCAGCCUAGCAGAAGAGGGUUUCGGAGGAGCUAGGCUGGUUCUGGAUCCCGGGAGGGGCCUUGGUCCCUGUGAGGUGUGCCUGGACCGGUGACUGCAGAAGCCUGCCACCCCAGCCUGAUCAGCAGUGGCCCCUGAACCCCUGGUGGUUGGGGAACACGCUUGUCUUAAUCACGCGCUGGGAGCCCCCUGCAAUGGCCAUGCCUCCCCGGGGGCACGGCACGCAGGGACCAGCACAGCGAGCGGCAGAUCCGAGGGCUCCCCUGAAGGAAGCCAGGCCGCCCCGGGGAGGGAGGAGCCUGGAGUGGGGCUGCGCGGGGGGCGGGGAGGACCGUGGAGCAGGGGGUCGGGGCGGAGGUGGACGGAGGGGG
rnacentral:lncRNA from 1 species